rnacentral:misc_RNA from 1 species
UACGAGUGGUGCAAGCGUUAUUCGGAAUUACUGGGCUUAAAGGGUGCGUAGGCGGUGCUGUAAGUCAGGUGUGAAAUCCCACAGCUCAACUGUGGAACUGCGCCCGAUACUGCAGUGCUAGAGGGAGACAGAGGUAAGCGGAACUGAUGGUGGAGCGGUGAAAUGCGUUGAUAUCAUCAGGAACACCGGUGGCGAAAGCGGCUUACUGGGUCUCUUCUGACGCUGAGGCACGAAAGCUAGGGUAGCGAACGGG